UUCGACCUCGACUCUUGGCACCAAACCUCGACUGUUGCACCAUCCCCCUGACCAGUAGGACCCCCCCGGGCCCCCCCAGCAGCACCCAUGGCGCAUCAGCCCCCUCCGCCUUCCUCAUCCUCCUCCUCCUGGCCGCCCUCCCAGGGCUGAUGGCGGCCGUGCAGCUGGUGGCGUCCGGAGGGGGCCUCCAGACACCCGGGGGGUCCCUCACCCUCCGCUGCAAGGCCUCCGGCUUCACCUUCAGCAGCUUCACCAUGUUCUGGGUGCGACAGGCCCCCGGGAAGGGGCUCGAGUACGUCGCGAGUGUUUACACUGAUGGUGGCACAGGCUACGCGCCGUCGGUCAAGGGGCGCUUCACCAUCUCCAGGGACAACUCCCAGAGCACGCUCACGCUGCAGAUGAACAGCCUCCGGGACGACGACACGGCCACCUACUACUGCGCGAAAUGUAGUGGUGGUGAUUAUGGUGCUGGUAAUGCUGAUGGUGAUGCUUAUGGUGGUGGCACCAACCCCAGCCCCAUGGAACAACAUCCCUGUGCUGUGUCCCCAGAUCAACAGCUAUUGACCCAAAUCUGAAGCAUUUGCCACAAAACUCGACCACUUUUGCCCCAAAUCUCAACCGGUUGCACCAAACCCUGACCGAUUUCUCACCAGACCUCCAUGGUUUGACCCAACUCUUGACCAUUCGCCCCAAACCUUGACCAUUUGCACCAAAU